AUUUGCAAUUCCAUGUUAGCAUGUAAUUCCAUGUUGCAUUUGCAAUUACUGCAGUUAUAUAAGAUAGACUAUUUUGUUGUAUGUCUUCAGAUUCUCCCCUUGCUGAGGAGUAGUUGGUCUAUGAGACUACACAUAGUAAAGGAGAGGGGGCUUCAUCUUUGCUGAGGAAAGCAUUAACAGAUCAUACAUAACGAGAGGAAUGCCGACAAAGAAAGGAAAUAAAUUUAGCUUGUUUUAGCUCUAGUUCUUGGGUAUAUGGUAUUACUAUAGUACCAGUCUUUUAGCUCAGUGUCAAGACAAAGUAUCAACUUGUAUGCUCUUUUAAAGUAUGAGUCAAUAUAAUAAAAAUAUAUCGUAGCUCA